rnacentral:lncRNA from 1 species
GUUAUUUCAGCAGAAGCUACCUGAGGAGCAUCAAACAUUCCACUAGUUUGCACGAUUUUUUUUUUUUUGCCGGGGAAGUUUGCACGAUUUCUGAUCGUGAUUUUUCCUACUAGAGCAUCAUACAAUAGAAAUAAAUUUCAAAGUAAAUAGACGAGCUGUAUUGGGGAACAUACUUUCGCAUAAGCAAUAAUUUAUGGCCUAUUUUAGGGAGUAAUAAUCAGUCUUUAAUUACUUCCAUAUGGUAGGGCAUCUCUAACUAA